UGGGGACACUGAGAGACAUGGGGACACUGAGAGACCCGGGGACACAGAGAAAUGAGGACACUGAGACAUUUAGGGAAACUGGGAGAAAUGUGGACACUGAGACACUAGGGACACAGACACUGGGAGACAUGGGGACACUGAAACAUUUGGGGACACUAAGACACUAAGGACAAAGACAUGGGAACACAGACACUGGGAGACUAGGGGACACUGGCUGGGAG